rnacentral:rRNA from 1 species
AUUGAACGCUGGCGGCAGGCCUAACACAUGCAAGUCGAACGGUAACAGGAAGAAGCUUGCUUCUUUGCUGACGAGUGGCGGACGGGUGAGUAAUGUCUGGGAAACUGCCUGAUGGAGGGGGAUAACUACUGGAAACGGUAGCUAAUACCGCAUAACGUCGCAAGACCAAAGAGGGGGACCUUCGGGCCUCUUGCCAUCGGAUGUGCCCAGAUGGGAUUAGCUAGUAGGUGGGGUAACGGCUCACCUAGGCGACGAUCCCUAGCUGGUCUGAGAGGAUGACCAGCCACACUGGAACUGAGACACGGUCCAGACUCCUACGGGAGGCAGCAGUGGGGAAUAUUGCACAAUGGGCGCAAGCCUGAUGCAGCCAUGCCGCGUGUAUGAAGAAGGCCUUCGGGCUGUAAAGUACUUUCAGCGGGGAGGAAGGGAGUAAAGUUAAUACCUUGGCGCAUUGACGUUACCCGCAGAAGAAGCACCGGCUAACUCCGUG